rnacentral:rRNA from 1 species
UUCAUCAACUUAUCCAGGAAUUCCCAAACUUUUGGUCCUAAAGACCGGUUACUCACUGAAGCUAAGCAGGGCUGAGCCUGGUCAGUACUAGGAUAGGGGACCACAUGAGAAAACUAGGUUGCUGUUGUAG